rnacentral:rRNA from 1 species
CCUACGGGAGGCUGCAGUGGGGAAUAUUGGGCAAUGGGCGCAAGCCUGACCCAGCAACGCCGCGUGAAGGAAGAAGGCGUUCGGGUUGUAAACUUCUUUUGUCAGGGACGAAGCAAGUGACGGUACUUGACGACUAAGCCACGGCUAACUACGUGCCAGCAGCCGCGGCACUACGGAGGGGGCGAGCGUGAAUCGGAAUUACUGGGCGUAAAGCGCUCGUAGGCGGUAUGUCAAGUCAAGGGUGAAAUCCCCGCGCUCAACGUGGGAACUGCCUUUGAAACUGGCAAACUGGAGGGUGUGGGAGGAUAGUGGAAUUCCAGGUGUAGGCGUGAAAUCCGUAGAUAUCUGGAGGAACAUCAGUGGCGAAGGCGACUAUCUGGCACAUAACUGACGCUGAGGAGCGAAAGCGUGGGUAGCAAACAGGAUUAGAUACCCUGGUAGUC